rnacentral:rRNA from 1 species
AUUGAACGCUGGCGGCAGGCCUAACACAUGCAAGUCGAGCGAGCGGCGGACGGGUGAGUAAUGUCUGGGAAACUGCCUGAUGGAGGGGGAUAACUACUGGAAACGGUAGCUAAUACCGCAUACCAUCAGAUGUGCCCAGAUGGGCUUAGCUGGUAGGUGGGGUAACGGCUCACCUGGGCGACGAUCCCUAGCUGGUCUGAGAGGAUGACCAGCCACACUGGAACUGGGACACGUUCCAGACUCGUACGGGAGGCAGAAGGGGGGAAUAUUGCACAAUGGGCGCAAGCCUGAUGCAGCCAUGCCGCGUGUGUGAAGAAGGCCUUCGGGUGGUAAAGCACUUGCAGCGGGGAGGCGUGACCCGCAGAAGAAGCACCGGCUAACUCCGUGCCAGCAGCCGCGGUAAUC